rnacentral:lncRNA from 1 species
GGACCCUUUGGACUUAAUGUAGACCAAUUUGAAAACAGGACCAAUUAAGAAUCUGAAUACACGGUUAGAUUUGGCAUAUUAAAGAACCCCAAUAAUUCAUUUUUUGAUGAAAUCAAACAAAGUUUAAUUUUGGACCCUUUUCCCUCCUAAUUCAUUGGGACCAAAACUCCCAAAAUCAAUCCAAACCUUCCUUUUGUGGUCCCAAACCUUCCUUUUGUGGUCAUAAACCUUGUUAAAAUUUCAUAGAUUUCUAUUAACUUAUACUAAAGUUCUUGUGCAAAACCCAAGAAAAAUGCUUAUUUUGGACCUGUUUUUGGCCCCUUAUUCCUAAACUGUUGGGACCAAGACUCCCAAAAUCAAUCCCAACCUUCUUUUUGUGGUCAUAGACCUUAUGUUAAAAUUUCAUAGAUUUCUGUUUAAUUAUACUAAAGUUAUAGUGCGAAAACCAAGAAAAUUGCUUAUUUGGGCCCUUUUUGGCCCCUAAUUCCUACACUGUUGGGACCAAA